rnacentral:rRNA from 1 species
CCUACGGGGGGCAGCAGUGGGGGAUAUUGCACAAUGGGCGCGAGCCUGAACCAGCCAAGUAGCGUGAAGGAUGACUGCCCUACGGGUUGUAAACUUCUUUUAUAAAGGAAUAAAGUGAGGCACGUGUGCCUUUUUGUAUGUACUUUAUGAAUAAGGAUCGGCUAACUCCGUGCCAGCAGCCGCGGUAAUACGGAGGAACCGAGCGUUAUCCGGAUUUAGUGGGGUUAAAGGGAGCGUAGAUUGGUUGUUAAGUCAGUUGUGAAAGUUUGCGGCUCAACCGUAAAAUUGCAAUUGAUACUGGCAGCCUUGAGUACAGUUGAGGUAGGCGGAAUUCGUGGUGUAGCGGUGAAAUGCUUAGAUAUCACGAAGAACUCCGAUUGCGAAGGCAGCCUACUAAACUGCCACUGACAUUGAUGCUCGAAAGUGUGGGUAUCAAACAGGAUUAGAUACCCCUGUAGUC